GACGAACGCUGGCGGCGUGCUUAACACAUGCAAGUCGAACGGAAAGGCCCUGCUUUUGUGGGGUGCUCGAGUGGCGAACGGGUGAGUAACACGUGAGUAACCUGCCCUUGACUUUGGGAUAACUUCAGGAAACUGGGGCUAAUACCGGAUAGGAGCUCCUGCUGCAUGGUGGGGGUUGGAAAGUUUCGGCGGUUGGGGAUGGACUCGCGGCUUAUCAGCUUGUUGGUGGGGUAGUGGCUUACCAAGGCUUUGACGGGUAGCCGGCCUGAGAGGGUGACCGGCCACAUUGGGACUGGGAUACGGCCCAGACUCCUACGGGAGGCAGCAGUGGGGAAUAUUGCACAGUGGGCGGAAGCCUGAUGCAGCAACCCCGCGGGCGGGAUGACGGCCUUCGGGUUGUAAACCGCUUUCGCCUGUGACGAAGCGUGAGUGACGGUAAUGGGUAAAGAAGCACCGGCUAACUACGUG
rnacentral:rRNA from 1 species